rnacentral:rRNA from 1 species
AUGGCAAAAUUUUGGUGGAGUGGCUCCCUUGACAGAAGGUCUUUGCAUUGGUUGUCCUGGGAUAAACUUGCAUCUCCUAAGGCCUGUGGUGGCAUGGGCUUUCGUGAUCUACACCUCUUCAAUGUGGCUUUGUUGGGAAAACAUGGUUGGAGAUUCAUAACUAAUCCCAACUCACUAUGUGCAAGAGUCAUGAAAGGACGUUAUUUCCCUGACAGUGAUUUCAUGGAAGCCACCAUACCGCAAUCUGCUUCAGCGAUUUGGCGUGCUAUAGUGGCCGGACGAGAAGCUCUUCAGUUGGGCUUGAUCAAAAGAAUCGGUGACGGGACUACUAUUUCCAUCUGGAAUGAUAAGUGGAUACCGGGCACCCCCUCGCUUACUCCUAGGGUGAUGCCAGGAGGAACAACAUUGGGAUUUGUCAAUCAGCUCAUAGAUACUGACAAUUGGACUUGGCGAUCUCAGCUGGUUCGUGAUGUUUUCAUCUCACCCGAUGCGGAUGCAAUCUUAAAUAUUCCUUUACACAAUGGGGGGGGGUGA